rnacentral:rRNA from 1 species
GAGGGGCAGCGGGGAGUGAGGCUUGCCUUACUCUGCCGGCGACCGGCGCACGGGUGAGUAACACGUAUGCAACCUACCCUUUACAGCGGGAUAACCGGAAGAAAUUUCGCCUAAUACCGCAUAGACUCCUUGGGAGGCAUCUUCCGAGGGGGAAAGAAUUUCGGUGAAGGAUGGGCAUGCGUCGCAUUAGUUAGUUGGCGGUGUAACGGACCACCAAGACGACGAUGCGUAGGGGUUCUGAGAGGAAGGUCCCCCACACUGGUACUGAGACACGGACCAGACUCCUACGGGAGGCAGCAGUGAGGAAUAUUGGUCAAUGGCCGAGAGGCUGAACCAGCCAAGUCGCGUGAGGGAAGAAUGUCCUAUGGAUUGUAAACCUCUUUUGUCAGGGAGCAAAGUCACCCACGUGUGGGUGUUGGAGAGUACCUGAAGAAAAAGCAUCGGCUAACUCCGUGCCAGCAGCCGCGGUAAUACGGAGGAUGCGAGCGUUAUCCGGAUUUAUUGGGUUUAAAGGGUGCGUAGGCGGGUUAUCAAGUCAGCGGUAAAAUCGUGGAGCUCAACUCCAUCCAGCCGUUGAAACUGAUGAUCUUGAGUGGGCGAGAAGUAUGCGGAAUGCGUGGUGUAGCGGUGAAAUGCAUAGAUAUCACGCAGAACUCCGAUUGCGAAGGCAGCAUACCGGCGCCCGACUGACGCUGAAGCACGAAAGCGUGGGUAUCGAACAGGAUUAGAUACCCUGGUAGUCCACGCAGUAAACGAUGAAUACUAAUUGUGUGCUCCGAAUGAGGAGUGCGUGAUACAGCGAAAGCGUUAAGUAUUCCACCUGGGGAGUACGCCGGCAACGGUGAAACUCAAAGGAAUUGACGGGGGCCCGCACAAGCGGAGGAACAUGUGGUUUAAUUCGAUGAUACGCGAGGAACCUUACCCGGGCUCAAACGCAGGAGGGAUGUUUUUGAAAGGAGGCAGCUCUACGGAGUCUCCUGCGAGGUGCUGCAUGGUUGUCGUCAGCUCGUGCCGUGAGGUGUCGGCUUAAGUGCCAUAACGAGCGCAACCCCUACCGCCAGUUGCCAACGGGUAAAGCCGGGAACUCUGGCGGGACUGCCGGCGCAAGCUGUGAGGAAGGCGGGGAUGACGUCAAAUCAGCACGGCCCUUACGUCCGGGGCGACACACGUGUUACAAUGGCAGGUACAGCGGGAAGCCACUUGGCGACAAGGCGCGGAACCCGAAAACCUGUCUCAGUUCGGAUUGGAGUCUGCAACCCGACUCCAUGAAGCUGGAUUCGCUAGUAAUCGCGCAUCAGCCACGGCGCGGUGAAUACGUUCCCGG